rnacentral:rRNA from 1 species
AGCAGCCGCGGUAAUUCCAGCUCCAAUAGCGUAUAUUAAAGUUGUUGCAGUUAAAAAGCUCGUAGUUGAAUUUCGGGAUUAGUAAGUUGGUCGUGCCUCUGGUAUGUACUGGCUUUACUGGUUCCUCCUUCUUGAAGAACUGUAAUGUCAUUAAUUUGGUGUUGCAGGGAAACAGGACUGUUACUUUGAAAAAAUUAGAGUGUUUAAAGCAGGCUAACGCUUGAAUACAUUAGCAUGGAAUAAUGAAAUAGGACGUUCGAUCCUAUUUUGUUGGUUUCUAGGAUUGACGUAAUGAUUAAUAGGGAUAGUUGGGGGCAUUAGUAUUCAAUUGUCAGAGGUGAAAUUCUUGGAUUUAUUGAAGACUAACUACUGCGAAAGCAUUUGCCAAGGAUGUUUUCAUUAAUCAAGAACGAAAGUUAGGGGGAUCGAAGACGAUCAGAUACCGUCGUAGUCUUAACCAUAAACUAUGCCGACUAGGGAUCGGAUGAUGUUAAUUUUUUAAUGUACUCAUUCGGCGCCU